UAUUAUUAUUUCGAAUUGAGGACGGGUUUUUGGAGUUAGCUGACCCUCGCUAGAUCGCAAUCCUUUGUCCCGUCCAUUGUAGCACGUGUGUCGCCCAUGACAUUUCAUUUUUGGUUUUCUUUGGCAUUCUUUCUUCAAGUCAAGCUGAACGCAAAUCGCAUGGUUGUUGGUACUCUCUGUGGCUUUGACCAGUUUAUGAAUUUAGUUGUUGACAACCCUGUGGAAGUGAAUGGCAAUGAGAAAAAUGACAUAGGGAUGGUGAUGAGGAUUCUAAUGGGGCAAUAGAUCAAGAGGAGUUGAAAAAGUGUAUGUUCAACGGUGUUCUAAUGGCUAACAUGUAUGUUUAUGGCUUUUCAACGGUGUUCAUUCAUCUCUGUCGGUUUUCACACGUCGUGACCAAGGGAGCUCACAACUUUCAGGUUCAGAAUCCACACAACAUUAAAUACAAUGGAACAAUUGAAGAUCUAAAAUAUAUAUGGAGAACUUAAGGUUUUCAUGGGUUGUUCAAAGGGAAUGGUACUAAUUGUGCUCAAAUUGUCCCAAAUUCUGUUGUAAAGUUCUUCAGUUAUGAGCAAGCUUCCAAAGGUAUACUACAUCUGUAUCAGAAGCAAACUAUGAUGUAUCAAUAUCAUACGUGUGAUGUGAUGUGCCUAUGCCAUUUAUAGGUUCAGAAUCCACACAACAUUAAAUACAAUGGAACAAUUCAAGGUCUAAAAUAUAUAUAUGGAGAACUUAAGGUUUUCAUGGAUUGUUCAAAGGGAAUGGUACUAAUAAUUGAAAUUUGUUUCCCCUGGUAGAAUGAAUUUAGUGUCUUCCUUUAUGCCUUUAAAACACACCAAUUUUCUUUUAUUAAUUUAUGUAUGCUUGCCUUACUAGCAUUGUGUUGCUGUCCAAUAUGAGAAUGGGCUUAAUUUGGACUGAUUUGGGGAAAUUGUCAUUAGAAGGAAGAAGGAUUGAGAUGAUAGUGAUACUGAUUAAAGUGCCUUUGGUAGUUUGGAAUUUUCAACAAAUGUUUUGUGAAUGAUGUAGUUUGAACAAUCACUUUAUUAUAAAUGUUAAGUUUAACGGUAUAUUGCAAUUAAAAAA